CGGUUAAGUUAGAAAGGGCGCACGGUGGAUGCCUUGGCACUAGGAGCCGAUGAAGGACGGGACGAACACCGAUAUGCUUCGGGGAGCUGUAAGCAAGCUUUGAUCCGGAGAUUUCCGAAUGGGGAAACCCACCACUCGUAAUGGAGUGGUAUCCAUAUCUGAAUUCAUAGGAUAUGAGAAGGCAGACCCGGGGAACUGAAACAUCUAAGUACCCGGAGGAAGAGAAAGCAAAUGCGAUUCCCUGAGUAGCGGCGAGCGAAACGGGAUUAGCCCAAACCAAGAGGCUUGCCUCUUGGGGUUGUAGGACACUCUGUACGGAGUUACAAAGGAACGAGGUAGAUGAAGAGGUCUGGAAAGGCCCGCCAUAGGAGGUAACAGCCCUGUAGUCAAAACUUCGUUCUCUCCUGAGUGGAUCCUGAGUACGGCGGAACACGUGAAAUUCCGUCGGAAUCCGGGAGGACCAUCUCCCAAGGCUAAAUACUCCCUAGUGACCGAUAGUGAACCAGUACCGUGAGGGAAAGGUGAAAAGCACCCCGGAAGGGGAGUGAAAGAGAUCCUGAAACCGUGUGCCUACAAGUAGUCAGAGCCCGUUAACGGGUGAUGGCGUGCCUUUUGUAGAAUGAACCGGCGAGUUACGAUCUCGUGCAAGGUUAAGCAGAAGAUGCGGAGCCGCAGCGAAAGCGAGUCUGAAUAGGGCGCAUGAGUACGUGGUCGUAGACCCGAAACCAGGUGAUCUACCCAUGUCCAGGGUGAAGUUCAGGUAACACUGAAUGGAGGCCCGAACCCACGCACGUUGAAAAGUGCGGGGAUGAGGUGUGGGUAGGGGUGAAAUGCCAAUCGAACCUGGAGAUAGCUGGUUCUCUCCGAAAUAGCUUUAGGGCUAGCCUCAAGGUAAGAGUCUUGGAGGUAGAGCACUGAUUGGACUAGGGGCCCCUACCGGGUUACCGAAUUCAGUCAAACUCCGAAUGCCAAUGACUUAUCCUUGGGAGUCAGACUGCGAGUGAUAAGAUCCGUAGUCGAAAGGGAAACAGCCCAGACCGCCAGCUAAGGUCCCAAAGUAUACGUUAAGUGGAAAAGGAUGUGGAGUUGCUUAGACAACCAGGAUGUUGGCUUAGAAGCAGCCACCAUUUAAAGAGUGCGUAAUAGCUCACUGGUCGAGUGACGAAAAUGUACCGGGGCUAAACGUAUCACCGAAGCUGCGGACUGUUCUUCGAAGGUAGGAGAGCGUUCUAAGGGCUGUGAAGCCAGACCGGAAGGACUGGUGGAGCGCUUAGAAGUGAGAAUGCCGGUAUGAGUAGCGAAAGAGGGGUGAGAAUCCCCUCCACCGAAUGCCUAAGGUUUCCUGAGGAAGGCUCGUCCGCUCAGGGUUAGUCGGGACCUAAGCCGAGGCCGAAAGGCGUAGGCGAUGGACAACAGGUUGAUAUUCCUGUACCACCUCCUCACCAUUUGAGCAAUGGGGGGACGCAGGAGGAUAGGGUAAGCGCGGUAUUGGAUAUCCGCGUCCAAGCAGUUAGGCUGGGAAAUAGGCAAAUCCGUUUCCCAUAAGGCUGAGCUGUGAUGGCGAGCGAAAUAUAGUAGCGAAGUUCCUGAUUCCACACUGCCAAGAAAAGCUCUAGCGAGGUGAGAGGUGCCCGUACCGCAAACCGACACAGGUAGGCGAGGAGAGAAUCCUAAGGUGAUCGAGAGAACUCUCGUUAAGGAACUCGGCAAAAUGACCCCGUAACUUCGGGAGAAGGGGUGAAGUAUAGGGGCUGACGCCUGCCCGGUGCUGGAAGGUUAAGAGGAGCGCUUAGCGUAAGCGAAGGUGCGAAUUGAAGCCCCAGUAAACGGCGGCCGUAACUAUAACGGUCCUAAGGUAGCGAAAUUCCUUGUCGGGUAAGUUCCGACCCGCACGAAAGGCGCAACGAUCUGGGCACUGUCUCAACGAGAGACUCGGUGAAAUUAUAGUACCUGUGAAGAUGCAGGUUACCCGCGACAGGACGGAAAGACCCCGUGGAGCUUUACUGCAGCCUGAUAUUGAAUGUUGGUACAGCUUGUACAGGAUAGGUAGGAGCCUUGGAAACCGGAGCGCCACUUCGGUGGAGGCAUCGGUGGGAUACUACCCUGGCUGUAUUGACCUUCUAACCCGCCGCCCUUAUCGGGCGGGGAGACAGUGUCAGGUGGGCAGUUUGACUGGGGCGGUCGCCUCCUAAAAGGUAACGGAGGCGCCCAAAGGUUCCCUCAGAAUGGUUGGAAAUCAUUCGCAGAGUGUAAAGGCACAAGGGAGCUUGACUGCGAGACCUACAAGUCGAGCAGGGACGAAAGUCGGGCUUAGUGAUCCGGUGGUUCCGCAUGGAAGGGCCAUCGCUCAACGGAUAAAAGCUACCCCGGGGAUAACAGGCUUAUCUCCCCCAAGAGUCCACAUCGACGGGGAGGUUUGGCACCUCGAUGUCGGCUCAUCGCAUCCUGGGGCUGUAGUCGGUCCCAAGGGUUGGGCUGUUCGCCCAUUAAAGCGGUACGCGAGCUGGGUUCAGAACGUCGUGAGACAGUUCGGUCCCUAUCCGUCGCGGGCGCAGGAAAUUUGAGAGGAGCUGUCCUUAGUACGAGAGGACCGGGAUGGACGCACCGCUGGUGUACCAGUUGUUCUGCCAAGGGCAUCGCUGGGUAGCUAUGUGCGGACGGGAUAAGUGCUGAAAGCAUCUAAGCAUGAAGCCCCCCUCAAGAUGAGAUUUCCCAUUCCGCAAGGAAGUAAGAUCCCUGAAAGAUGAUCAGGUUGAUAGGUCUGAGGUGGAAGUGUGGCGACACAUGGAGCUGACAGAUACUAAUCGAUCGAGGACUUAACCAUAUUU
rnacentral:rRNA from 1 species